rnacentral:tRNA from 1 species
GAGAGAUGUCUGAGUGGUCUAAGGUGCUUGACUCGAAAUCAAGUGUAUCGCAAGGUACCGGGGGUUCGAAUCCCUCUCUCUCC